GGAGCCGUCCUUUUAGAGAUACCGGGAGAAAAAACCGGAGAAGAUAGGAGGCAGACGGCUCCACUGACGGCGGUUCUCGUCUCAAACACAGCCCGUCCGCGGAGCCCCACCAGCUGGGGGCAAGCACGCGGGCACCGGUCCGCUGUGGGCCCGAGCACGUCCCCCGGGGCGGUUGGUAGCUCACACCCGGGGCCCGGCGGCGGCGGCGGCGGCGGCGGCGGCGGCGGCGACGCCUCCUCCGCCGCCACCUCCCCGCCCCACGUUCCCAUCUGCUCGCCGCCGGGGGCGCCCACGCCCGGCCGCCCGCCCGCUCUCCCCAGCCUGUCCCCCGGCGCCUUUGCCGCCCGUCCAGUCAGCCGCCGCGCUCCUCGGCCCUCGGCCCUCGCCCCGGGCCCCGCCAUUACCGCUCCUCCAGUCAGCCGCCGCGCUCCGCCGCGCUCCUCGCACCUAGCCCUGCGCCCCGCCGGCCGCCGCCGCCCUCCUCGCGCCCCGCCCGCCACGCUUCAGCCCCCUCUUCCCCGCCCCUGCAGCCCGUCCGCACCAAUCAGCGCCGGGCUCGCCCGGCGGCCAAUCGCUGGCCCGCCGCGACCAAUCCUUCCGCGGGCUGCCCCUGAGCGACUGGGCUGCGGCGCGCUGGCAGCCAAUUGCCCGGACGCGCCGGCCCGGGCGUUAGCCAGUCGGAGCCCGGGAAGGCAGCCGCUGUUCCCCCGGCUGCACCUGCUGAGAAUUAAGCAGCCAGUUAGAGGCUCCACGGAGCGCUGUCAGCCCACCUCGGGGCCAAUUACCUGGGAAGUUGGCACCUCCCCGUCGGGGAAAGUCCGCGCCCCGGGCGGGGACCGAGGUGCGAGGGCGUGGGAUCACGCGUGCGUGUCGCCGCUGGUGGGCCUCGAGUGCCGUAGUGCACCGCCACCCCUCGCCACCGGCACCCAGGUACCUCGCGGAGAGCGGCCCCUCGACGGGCGGCGCCCCGCCACUUGCCUCCUCGGUGCUCUCCUGCCGGGAUCCGUCCUGAUCCGUGGCAGGCCCUGGGGACGCACGGAAGGGCCAGCGCGGGCUUGGAGGGCGCGGAGCGGGGGAGGGGGGGCUGCGCGCGGGAGCCGGCGCGCGGUGCGGGCGGGGCGCUGGGGCGCCCGCGGCGAGGGGACUUGGGGCUGUGCGGGCGUCGGUCAGGGGCGCGCCCUCCCCGGGACGGAGGGGACCGGCGCGACGGCACAGCCGGGGCCAUUUCUGCGGAGGGCGGUAGAGGGUGGGCCGUGCCAGGCGGCGGUCCCCUUCGGAGGAGGGCAUUGCGGCCGCCGCCCAGGACCCGGGACUGGGACGGCCAAGGACGGUUGGGCCUGUGACCGCCUCCGGGCGGCGGGAGCCUCCUCCCGAGCCAGAGCCCCUCCGCGGGCUCCCGGUAGCCGGGAGCUCUUUGCAGCGGUUCUGUCGCUGUGCCCGGCACACGGUGAGCUCUCCGUGGAUGCUGAAGGGACGCCAGAUUGCAUCUCUGGUCAACCAGGGCGAUCGAUGCCUUUGGGCCUCAGGGUUUCGAUUUGUAUUAAUUUUUUAAAUGUGCAUUUUGAAUAA
rnacentral:lncRNA from 1 species